rnacentral:rRNA from 1 species
AUUGAACGCUGGCGGCAGGCCUAACACAUGCAAGUCGAACGAGCGGCGGACGGGUGAGUAAUGUCUGGGAAACUGCCCGAUGGAGGGGGAUAACUACUGGAAACGGUAGCUAAUACCGCAUACCAUCGGAUGUGCCCAGAUGGGAUUAGCUAGUAGGUGGGGUAACGGCUCACCUAGGAGACGAGCCCUAGCUGGGCUGAGAGGAUGACCCUCCACACUGGAACUGAGACACGGGCCAGACUCCUACGGGAGGCAGCAUUGGGGAAUAUUGCACAAUGGGCGCAAGCCUGAUACAGCCAUGCCGCGUGUAUGAAGAAGGCCUUCGGGUUGUAAAGCACUUUCAGCGAGGAGGCGUUACUCGCAGAAGAAGCACCGGCUAACUCCGUGCCAGCAGCCGCGGUAAUUC